rnacentral:rRNA from 1 species
AGUGAACGCUGGCGGUAGGCCUAACACAUGCAAGUCGAACGGCAGCACAGUAAGGGCUUGCUCUUACGGGUGGCGAGUGGCGGACGGGUGAGGAAUACAUCGGAAUCUACUUUUUCGUGGGGGAUAACGUAGGGAAACUUACGCUAAUACCGCAUACGACCUACGGGUGAAAGCAGGGGAUCUUCUGACCUUGCGCGAUUGAAUGAGCCGAUGUCGGAUUAGCUAGUUGGCGGGGUAAAGGCCCACCAAGGCGACGAUCCGUAGCUGGUCUGAGAGGAUGAUCAGCCACACUGGAACUGAGACACGGUCCAGACUCCUACGGGAGGCAGCAGUGGGGAAUAUUGGACAAUGGGCGCAAGCCUGAUCCAGCCAUACCGCGUGGGUGAAGAAGGACUUCGGGUUGUAAAGCCCUUUUGUUGGGAAAGAAAAGCAGCAGGUUAAUACCCCGCUGUUCUGACGGUACCCAAAGAAUAAGCACCGGCUAACUUCGUG